rnacentral:lncRNA from 1 species
GGGCGGGUCCUGCGCAGCCGCUCCUGGAGCCGCGGCCCCGCCCCCCCCGGAGCCCCGAAUUCCUGCAGGAGGCGCCGGGUCCGGUUCCGGUCCCAGUCCCGGUUCUGGCUCCAGUUCAGAUCCCGGUGCCGCUCCUGGGAACAAAUCGGAGCCCGGUUCCGGUCCCGGUUCCGGUUCUGAUCCCGGUCCCGAUCCCGGUUCUGGUCCCGAUCCCGGUUCCGAUCCCGGUUCCGGUCCCGGUUCCGGUUCUGAUCCCGGUUCCGGUCCCGGUUCCGGUUAUGAUCCCGGUCCCGGUUCCGGUCCCGGUUCCGGUUCUGAUCCCGGUUCCGGUCCCGGUUCCGGUCCCGGUUCCGGUUCUGAUCCCGGUUCUGAUCCCGAUCCCGGUUCUGAUCCCGGUCCCGGUUCCGGUCCCGGUUCUGAUCCCGGUUCUGGUCCCGGUUCUGGUCCCGGUUCCGGUCCCGUUUCUGGUCCCGGUCCCGGUUCUGGUUCUGAUCCCGGUUCUGGUCCCGGUUCUGGUUCUGAUCCCGGUUCUGGUUCCGGUCCCGUUCCCAAUCCCGGUCCCGGUCCCGGUUCCGAUCCCAUUCCCGAACCUGGUCCCGCUCCGGUUCCUGGUCCCGCUUCCGGUCCCGCUCCAGUUCCCGGUUCUGGUCCCGCUCCANNNNNNNNNNNNNNNNNNNNCGGACCCCCCCUGGUAAUUAAUGAGCCUUAAUUAGCGCUAAUUAACGGGAAAUUAACGGGGUACGGGGCACUAAUGGGGUGUCGGUAAUUAACGGUAAUUAGCGCUAAUUAACGGGGAAAUUAACGGGGUACGGGGCACUAAUGGGGUGUUGGUAAUUAGCGGUAAUUAGCGCUAAUUAACGGGGAAAUUAACGGGGUACGGGGCUAAUGGAGUGUCGGUAAUUAGCGUUAAUUAGCGCUAAUUAACGGCGGGAUUAACGGGGUACGGGGCUGUAAUGGGGUGUCGGUAAUUAACGGGAAUAUUGGCAAUUAAUGGGGUAAUUAAUGGGAAUAUCAGUAAUUAAUGCGGUAAUUAACAAGGUUACAGGUUCUUGAUGGGAAUAUGAAUAAUUAAUAAUAAUUAUUAAAUUUAAUAAUUAAAGGGUUAUCAACAAUUAGUGGGAUAUUGGCAAUUAGAGGGAUAAUUAACGAGAUAAUUAACGAUAUAUCGAUAAUUAAUGGGAUCCACAAUGGGAUAAUUAAAGGGAUAUCGGUAAUUAAUGAGAAUAACGGUAACUAACAGGGUAAUUAACGGGGAUACAGAUUAUUAAUGGGAAUAUCCGUAAUUAUUGGAAUAAUUAAUGGGAUACCCAUAAUUAACGGGAUAAUUAAUGGGAACACAGAUCAUUAAUGGGAUUAUCGCUAAUUAAUGGGGCUAAUGAGAGAGAUAUUGGUAAUUAAUGCGGAUAUCGGCAAUUAAGAGAGUUAUUAAUGGGAAUAUAGAUAAUUAAUGGGAAUAUUGGUAAUUAAUGGGAAUAUCGGUAAUUAAUGGGGUAAUUAGUAAGCUAUCGGCAAUUAAUGCGAUAUCCAUAAUUAGUGGGAUAUCGGAAAUUAAUGAGAUGUCGGUAAUUAACACCUUAAUUAAUGGGAUAUCAGUAAUUAAUGGGAUAUCGGCAAUUAAUGGGAAUAUCGGUAAUUAACGGGACAUUGGCAAUUAGUGGGGUGUGGGUAAUUAGCAGAGUAGCGAUAAUUAAUGGG